rnacentral:rRNA from 1 species
UACGAAGGGGGCUAGCGUUGUUCGGAAUCACUGGGCGUAAAGGGCGCGUAGGCGGCCGAUCAAGUCGGGGGUGAAAGCCUGUGGCUCAACCACAGAAUUGCCUUCGAUACUGUUUGGCUUGAGACCGGAAGAGGUUAGUGGAACUGCGAAGUGUAGAGGUGAAAUUCGUAGAUAUUGGGAAGAAACACCGGUGGCGAAGGCGGCCAUCUGGACCGCAACUGACG